rnacentral:tRNA from 1 species
AACUUAGUGAUUUAUUUAAAAAUAUUAAACUGCAAGUUUAAAAAAAAGAUUGUGAAUCUUCUAAGUUU